rnacentral:rRNA from 1 species
CUCCUACGGGAGGCAGCAGUGGGGAAUAUUCCGCAAUGGGGGAAACCCUGACGGAGCAAUGCCGCGUGAGUGAAGAAGGCCUUUGGGUCGUAAAACUCUGUCUUGAGGGACGAAAAAAAUGACGGUACCUCAAAAGAAAGCCCCGGCUAACUACGUGCCAGCAGCCGCGGUAAUACGUAGGGGGCGAGCGUUGUCCGGAAUUACUGGGCGUAAAGGGCGUGUAGGCGGCCUGUGUAGUCAAGUGGUGAAAACCCGGGGCUUAACUUCGGGAUGGCCCUUGAAACCAACAGGCUUGAGGACAGGAGAGGGGAGUGGAAUUUCCGGUGUAGCGGUGAAAUGCGUAGAUACCGGAAGGAACACCAGUGGCGAAGGCGGCUCCCUGGACUGGUCCUGACGCUGAGGCGCGAAAGCGUGGGGAGCAAACAGGAUUAGAUACCCUGGUAGUCCACGCCGUAAACGAUGGGUGCUAGGUGUUGGGGGUAUCGACCCCUCCAGUGCCGCAGUUAACACAAUAAGCACCCCGCCUGGGGAGUACGACCGCAAGGUUGAAACUCAAAGGAAUUGACGGGGGCCCGCACAAGCGGUGGAGCAUGUGGUUUAAUUCGACGCAACGCGAAGAACCUUACCAGGGCUUGACAUCUUCUGAUCGCUUAAGGAAACUUAAGCUUUCCGGAGGGUUUACUUUCCGGACAGAAAGACAGGUGGUGCAUGGUUGUCGUCAGCUCGUGUCGUGAGAUGUUGGGUUAAGUCCCGCAACGAGCGCAACCCCUACGGUUAGUUGCUAACGGGUAAGGCCGAGCACUUUAGCUGAACUGCCGUUGACAAAACGGAGGAAGGCGGGGAUGACGUCAAAUCAUCAUGCCCUUUAUGUCCUGGGCUACACACGUGCUACAAUGGCCUGUACAAAGGGCGGCAAAGGGGCGACCCGGAGCAAAUCCCAAAAAACAGGUCUCAGUUCGGAUUGCAGGCUGCAAUUCGCCUGCAUGAAGGCGGAAUCGCUAGUAAUCGCAGGUCAGCAUACUGCGGUGAAUACGUUCCCGGGCCUUGUACACACCGCCCGUCACACCACGAAAGUCAGCAACACCCGAAGCCGGUGACUUAACUGCGGUAACGUGGAGAGAGCCGUCUAAGGUGGGGUUGGUAAUUGGGGUGAAGUCGUAACAAGGUA